GACGUAGGGCGCGAGCGUUGUCCGGAUUUAUUGGGCGUAAAGAGCUCGUAGGCGGCUUGUCGCGUCGUCCGUGAAAACUCGGGGCUCAACCCCGAGCUUGCGGUCGAUACGGGCAGGCUCGAGUUCGGUAGGGGAGACUGGAAUUCCUGGUGUAGCGGUGAAAUGCGCAGAUAUCAGGAGGAACACCGGUGGCGAAGGCGGGUCUCUGGGCCGAUACUGACGCUGAGGAGCGAAAGCGUGGGGGAGCGAACAGG
rnacentral:rRNA from 1 species